AGAGAGAGAGAGAGAGAGAGAGAGAGAAAGGCGGAGAAUAAGCAGCAGAGCUGCGUGUGUGGUUAAUAAAGGUGUAACGUUACCGGAAUUAUCUGGACUGUUUCUACUAAUGCAGGCGUAAUUCAUCAUCAUCAGCAUUUACGCUUCUACAGUCGUCUUUCUCUGCGCCUCUGAAUUCUGUUGCUGUGGAGUUUUCCCACUUUCUGUCUGAGACAGUGUCCAAGCGAAGAACCUAUGGAUAUUAUCCGGUGUCUGCGGUCUUUACUGGACCUCCAUGUUCAGCUCCAAAAAGCUGUAGCUCUUCAGGGAGAUAUCCAGGCCCAGUUUCUUGCUCACCUUUUACAACCAGACCGUUCUGACCUGCCUCAGCUGCCCCGGCCAUGUCUGGACGUGAGAGGAGAUGAUCUGGAGCUCUCUCUGUCCGUAUUUGAAAGAGCUCUGGACAGCAGCAAACUGCCGAAGGAGCAGUGGGGCUCUCGGCUAGCACAGCUCCUGUGCGUGAAGACACUGCGUGAAGAGGGACAUGAUCCAUCCAGUCUGCUCAAUUAUGAAGUUUUGAAAGCAGAUGUGAGGAAGCAGGCAUGGGCCUCGGAGCUUCAGAAGUGGAGGGACUUUAGUGAAGUCCAGUAUGAUCCCCACAAGAGUCUGCGGGACCUAAAGCUUCAGGUGGAGGAGGCAGCCAAGACGUGGCUCCAGCCUGAAAGGUGCAGCUCUGAGGAGGUGGUGAGAAGAGUGAGCCUUCAGAAGUUCCUUUCUCUGCUCCCGCCAGGUGCACAGGAAAAAACACGAAAACAACAGCCACAGAACUUGGAGGAGGCUUUGAUCAUGGCUGCAUGCUUUAUGGAAGAUAACAGGGUUGAACAAGAAGAACCAGAGAGAGACAGACAAGUCUGCGAAACACAGACCGAGACUGGUCAUGGAUACUCAGGGGAGCAUCAACCAGUCAGCUUUAAUGAGCUGUGUCUGAAACAGGAUACAGAAACCAUCUUCCAUCCAGUUGGUUUCAGCCUGGAAGUCAGUGGUGGGAAUGAGCAUUAUCAAGAGGAGCAGUUUUCUGAAGCUGUGUUUAACCCUAUGCUCGUAGACACCAAGCCUGUUCUGAAUCUUGAAGUUGUACAUCCAAUCGUUAAUGAAAUGUCACUUCCUGGUACCUGUUACGGUAACAAAUCAACUACGCCUUCACUCAGGUCAGCCUAUAAGAACUGUGACAGACAAGUCCAGCACCACAAGCCAGAAGCGCCAGUGAAACAUGCGUUAGAGUGUCCCACAUGUGGUAGUAAGUUUAAGAGGUUUGACUACCUGCAGAGACACAGGUGCACUCCUGGACAGAGCCUGGGCUGUAAGCACUGUGAUCUCCGCUUCCCUACACUCACCCAGCUGACCAACCACCUCCGCAUCCACCGGAAAAUGCUGCGCUGCCCUGUAUGCAACAAAACCUUCCGCGACCGCUUCAAUCUCCGCUGCCAUCAACGCACACACACAGGUAUGGAAGAGAAGUUGAAAAGGGUUGUUACAAUGCCAAAGUUUCAAUAAGGGCUAAAGAACAUUAUAAAAAAAAAACCAACAUAAAACAAAAUCAUAAUUGUCAUAUGACCACAUUUUUUGUUUCGCAUUGUGACAUAAAUUAAUUAUGAUUAAGUGUGGUCUGUUUGUGGGUCCCAAAUGGACGGGGCAUACUAUUUUCAAAGUUUUGUGGGCAUUCAAACCUCAGUGUCACAUGUACCAGGAAUAUGUUAUGGAAGCAGUUAAAUGAUCGGGACCAGUGGUGUCUGGUUAGAAUUGUCUGUGCACACAGACAAGCAAAUCUGACAGAAAUCUGAAUUCACAUUCACUGCAAAUAGUGCUCAGAUAGAUAAUAAUAAGGCUGUUUCUUUUGUGUUUAUAUAAAGUCUAAGAUAUUCAGUUAUAGUUUUGUCUUUGAUGAUUAUUGGUUCUAAACAAUUAAUAAAACCAGACGUCGAGUAACCUUUUUAUUCAGGACCAGUUGACCUGUCUAGAAUAGACUGCAACAUAAACGUAAACUUCCCAACACCGACCCUGCAGAUCAGUCACACGAUAAACAAAAUACUACUCUCGUUUUAUUUCUUAUUAUGUAGACUAAAGACAUCAGGAGAGCCUAAAGUAAUAUUGAAAACAUGCCUUUCCAAAACUAAUUGCCUUUCAAAAAAAUAAAUGAAAGAAUAUACAUAGAAACAUAACCUUACUCCCAUACCUUAAACAUAGACAAAAAAAAGUGAGUGUUAGUGUUUUGUGUUAAAGAUGCUUAGACACUUGUCAUGUAAAAAGAGUUUCUUCAAAGUCGCAGAGGUUAUUUUUAAAAAAUAGUACAAGUAAAUUGGAUAGAAUAUCAAUCACCGCAGGAUAUAUCGCUGUCCUGACUUUGAAAAACAUCCCAACAGUUGUAACAUUAAACUCAUGUCCUACUGGAUUUAUAAAACCACUUUUCCUUGAGCAGCAACACCUGUAAGCUGUUGAAGAGCAGGAAAGGCAGAAUUAACAAGAAAGUGAUUUAAAACUGCAAAAAAAGGAAAACAAAAUCACAUAAUACCAGCGGUAUUGUUGUUUCAUAUAGAGUACCAGUCAAAAGUUUGGACACACCUUCUCAUUUGAUGUUUUUUUUUUCUUUAAAAUGUAUGUAUAAUUAUUACAUAGUGAUCUAAACCCAGCUGAGAUGGUGAUUUGGGAUGAGCUGGAGCUUCACAGCAUGAAGGAAAAGCAGCAACUAUUGUUCAGCACCUCCAGGAACUCCUUCAAGAUGCUGAGAAAACUGUUCCAGGUGAGCGUCCUCACAUCUGCACUGACUGCGGCUCAUCGUUUGCUCAGGAACGAGGAUUACUGGAGCACCGCAACAUU